GUAGGUGAACCUGCGGAAGGAUCAUUC
rnacentral:rRNA from 7 species